GGAAACGGGUUAAUAUUCCCGUACUUCUUACAAUUGCGAUGGGGGGACGGAGAAGGCUAGGUGGGCCUGGCGACGGUUGUCCAGGUUCAAGUGCGUAGGCUUAAGAGUUAGGUAAAUCCGGCUCUUUUUAAGGCUGAGACACGACGUCGAGCACCUACGGGUGUGAAGUCAUUGAUGCCAUGCUUCCAGGAAAAGCCUCUAAGCUUCAGAUUGUAAGGAAUCGUACCCCAAACCGACACAGGUGGUCGGGUAGAG
rnacentral:rRNA from 1 species